rnacentral:rRNA from 1 species
GACGAACGCUGGCGGCGUGCUUAACACAUGCAAGUCGAACGCUGAAGCCCUGGCUUUUGUUGGGUUGGAUGAGUGGCGAACGGGUGAGUAACACGUGAGUAACCUGCCCUCUUCUUUGGGAUAACGCCCGGAAACGGGUGCUAAUACUGGAUAUUCACUGAUCUUCGCAUGGGGGUUGGUGGAAAGGUUUGUUCUGGUGGGGGAUGGGCUCGCGGCCUAUCAGCUUGUUGGUGGGGUGAUGGCCUACCAAGGCUUUGACGGGUAGCCGGCCUGAGAGGGUGACCGGUCACAUUGGGACUGAGAUACGGCCCAGACUCCUACGGGAGGCAGCAGUGGGGAAUAUUGCACAAUGGGCGAAAGCCUGAUGCAGCGACGCCGCGUGAGGGAUGGAGGCCUUCGGGUUGUAAACCUCUUUCGCUCAUGGUCAAGCCGCAACUGUGGGUUGUGGGGAGGGUAGUGGGGAAAGAAGCGCCGGCUAACUACGG